AGGACGAACGCUGGCGGCGUGCUUAACACAUGCAAGUCGAGCGGUAAGGCCUUUCGGGGUACACGAGCGGCGAACGGGUGAGUAACACGUGGGUGAUCUGCCCUGCACUCUGGGAUAAGCCUGGGAAACUGGGUCUAAUACCGGAUAUGACCUGCUCUCGCAUGGGGGUGGUGGAAAGAUUUAUCGGUGCAGGAUGGGCCCGCGGCCUAUCAGCUUGUUGGUGGGUAAUGGCCUACCAAGGCGACGACGGGUAGCCGACCUGAGAGGGUCACCGGCCACGACGUGGGACUGACGACACGGCCCAGACUCCGUACGGGAGC
rnacentral:rRNA from 1 species